rnacentral:rRNA from 1 species
UGGGGAAUUUUGGACAAUGGGCGCAAGCCUGAUCCAGCCAUGCCGCGUGUCUGAAGAAGGCCUUCGGGUUGUAAAGGACUUUUGUCAGGGAAGAAAAGGCUGUUGCUAAUACCGACAGUUGAUGACGGUACCUGAAGAAUAAGCACCGGCUAACUACGUGCCAGCAGCCGCGGUAAUACGUAGGGUGCGAGCGUUAAUCGGAAUUACUGGGCGUAAAGCGAGCGCAGACGGUUACUUAAGCAGGAUGUGAAAUCCCCGGGCUCAACCUGGGAACUGCGUUCUGAACUGGGUGACCAGAGUGUGUCAGAGGGAGGUAGAAUUCCACGUGUAGCAGUGAAAUGCGUAGAGAUGUGGAGGAAUACCGAUGGCGAAGGCAGCCUCCUGGGAUAACACUGACGUUCAUGCUCGAAAGCGUGGGUAGCAAACAGGAUUAGAUACCCUGGUAGUCCACGCCCUAAACGAUGUCAAUUAGCUGUUGGGCAACUUGAUUGCUUAGUAGCGUAGCUAACGCGUGAAAUUGACCGCCUGGGGAGUACGGUCGCAAGAUUA